UACAGAGGGUGCGAGCGUUAAUCGGAAUUACUGGGCGUAAAGCGUGCGUAGACGGCUAUCUAAGUCGGGUGUGAAAGCCCCGGGCUCAACCUGGGAAUUGCAUUCGAGACUGAAUAGCUAGGGUACGGUAGAGGGAAGCGGAAUUUCCGGUGUAGCGGUGAAAUGCGUAGAUAUCGGAAGGAACAUCAGUGGCGAAAGCGACUUCCUGGACCAAUACUGACGCUCAUGUGCGAAAGCGUGGGGAGCAAACAGG
rnacentral:rRNA from 1 species